rnacentral:lncRNA from 1 species
UAAGCAAAUGUCACGCCUCACUGGCCUCGGUGAUGGACUCAAUCUAGCAUUUUUAAAUGUGUCUCUAAAGAGGUGGUGUGUUCCUUGGAGUUCGUCUUUUUAGAUAGAUAUGUUAUCUUGGUCCCGCACCUAGAAAAAAAUGCCAAAGUGUACUUAUUUCUGAUUUUGCCCAGGAAAUUCAGCAAAUAUAAUUACCUAGAUAUUAGUUUUUCGUCCGGUUUUCCUUGAUUUCUGAAUAAUGAUUUCUAGGCAUCAUAGAAAUCAUAACUCAGAAAUCAAGGAAAACCGGACGAAAAAAUAAUAUCCAGGUAAUCAACAUCCAUUUCCGAUAAAAUGAUGAAACCAAAUCUAAAUCAGCAAAUUUACCUUUUUGUCAUGCAUGAAAUUCAUUUUCAUAAAUGCUAAACCUAUUGCAAAGUGAUACCUAUGUAUUUUUAGCUGCUGAAUCGUAAUACGACCAAAAAUGUCCUUGUUCCUCAGGAAACUUGGCUUUUCCGAGAAAUUGGAGGGUUGUGGAAAAAAUCUAUGUUAUUUACGAAUUCAGCGCCUCAAUGGUUACGCGCGGGAGUAGCUAACCUCACGCGCGAGAUUCACACCGCGGCACCGUGCGCGGAGCUUUACGGAAAAGAUGCCGUAGAAACGAGUGGUUUUUUUUUAGGAUGGAGAAAGUUAAAUUUUCCAAGCGCCCUUGUAUAUUGGUGACUCUGGCUGCGUGGACCGUUCCUGGUGAAUUCUGGAAAAAGAAACAGAAAAACAAAUGAAGUGCUUCAUCAUUGAUCACUUACAAUGUAUGUAUUAUUAUUCCCUAUGUUUCCUCAAAUAUUAUGUUUUACUAGAAACUUUUUGCAUCAAAUCCAACAGAUAUAUAAUUUUAUUGCCAUUCAGACCUUCCAGAAGAAAAGAUUGACAAACAUCUUAUCAAAAAGAACACCAUUUAACGGAAAUGCAUUUACUAACUGAACAGCCAAAUGUUGAAUAAUUCACUUUGGGUUCAGCGUGCCGAUUGUCUAAGAACUCAUACAACAUGACAAUCCUGUCUAGGGCAAAAAUUACUUGAACUACACUUUCUUUGGGGACAUGUGAAAAGUUGUGGCUGAAUUCACAGGAUGGAGGAGCCAAGAAGUUGUUUCCAAGAAAUAUCAGCAUUAUCAAAAUCAUUAUUUGAUUGCGCGGGUUCAACACAUCUUUCAUGGGUACAUCAAAACAUUUUUCUGCCUUGAAAGUGGCAUUUAUGAAAGUUUCACUGAAGAAAGUGGGUGAGGGACCGCCAUUUAUUAGUGAUAAAGCAAUGAUGGCUCCAUUUUUUUUUUUUUUUUUUUUUUUUUUUUAAACAUCCAGGACAUUCCCCUGCUAACUUUAUUCAACAAUUUACAUAAAAUAAGUUCUUAUAGUAAUUAAUAUGAGACAAAAGAUAGAAAUUAGUUUCAAAAAAGAAAUAGAGAUAAUUUACUUUAAUGUUGAAGGGGACGGAAAUAUCUGUAGAUAUGACUGUCGCCCAGGUUAGGUUAAAAAUUAUUUUAAGUCAUAAAUAAAAUGUACAAAGAUAUAAGAUUGCCUAAAGAAAUUAUUGCUUAAAAUUUAUGAGAGUCUGGAGGAGAGGACCCCGGGAGAUGGCUCCAUGUGUCUCAUAGAUUUUCCUUUUUAAACAUUCAUCACUAAGUUUGAAGGUUUUUUUAAAGAUCGUCCCCUUCUAGAAAUGGGCUUCGUUUCAUUUGGUGCGAAGAGAUGUCCAGCAUUUCUUUAAGGAGCCCUCCAGUGAAAAGUAAAAAUCCUUCAAUAAAUAUACUCUCUUUGAAUAAAAAAAACAGGUCCUUGUGUCCUACUUAUAGCAUUAGCAGUACAAAUUUAUACUGUCAAACUUCAACGACUGUGAAACUAGUAUAAGAAAGAAUCAAAAGCCAACAAAUAGGGAUCAGAGCCAGUUACAGUCCUAAAGUACAGUUGUGUUGAACUUCUGCGAUGGGUUGAAACUCCAACACAGGGAUACUUUGGGUGUAAAUUCUUAUUCAAGAUUUCUUAUAGAGUAAAAAUGCACUGUUCACGAUUCUUUGAGGCUCAUACAGAGGUUUAUUAUACCUUUUCUUUACUUUUUCAAGUUCUGAAUAAUGGACACCAUAAUUUUUUCGAAGAGGCAGACACCAUGUGUAAUAAAGAGAAAAAAAUUUAACACUCUGUGGAAAGUAAUUAGUCCAAAAUUAGGAAUUUUACGAUACAUUCUCUCCUUUUUCUGUCAUCGUGCAAAUGACAAUUUAUUGGGACAGGAUCCAUGGGGGUCUUGACGUUACCCAUUCGUGUGAGAAGGGAUUCCGUGAUUACUUAAAAAAUAUGAAGGAUUUUAUUCCUUAAAACAACUCUUUUAAUUUUCUAUAAGGCACAAUCCCACCUUCAUUUUUUCCUCCUUUACUUUGAACUUAAGUUCGGAGGGUUGCCGAAGUAUAUGACUAUAAUUUUUUUUAAGUCUCUGAGUUCCAUCCUCUUAUAUAGCUGCCAUCAUUGAGGGAGAUGCCUCCUCGAUUAAUCUUAAUAUCUUAAUAAACCAAAAAAUUACCAUUGCAGCGGGGGGCAAAACCGAAGGUGGUGGAACUGCUUGUUGGACUGCUGGAGCAGUUUCUGUAGUGCUUGCUGGGCCACUUGCAUUUUCAGGCCUGAGGAUGGCCUUUAUUUUAUUAUCAGACUGUAAGACCAGAAACUGAAAUUUCUACACUGAGUACAAAUCUAUUUUGUUGCUGUUCAAAAACAAAAUCGUGACCACCAGCAGGUACUGCUUUUCUUCACACGUGGGAAUGCCUUUUCCUUUACCCCACAAUUUAUCUUUUUAAAAAAUUACUUUAAUUAUUCACUUUCUUUCGAUAAGUAUGACGUGAAACUACAAGAGGGAAAUUCCUCUUAUAGGUCGACAUCACCAUUGCCUCAGCUUUCCUUUCCUCUCAAAUUUACUAAUUUCUUUAAGCACCAAAUUUUCUUUGCUUUUCCAAGUUCUGAACAAUGUACACCAUAAUGAUGAAUGGCAAGAGAAAAAAAUUCCCCCCUUGUGUCCCGACUGAAAUUUUGAAGAACUUGAACUUUUUGAUUUGGAAUUUUUUACCUUUAAUUUAACAGAAGAUGGACAAAAGACAAACGAGGAAAGACGAAGAUGUUUUUUAGAUUGAACUUUUUGGAGAAGAUUUUGACAGACACGUAAAAAGCUUAGCUUGGAAUUUUUUUUACUAAAGAUUUGGUUUCCCUGGAGACGAAGGGGGACCCGCUUCAUUUUGGCCCCCCUGAACUUCCCGGAAGUUCUGAACUGCAGACUCAUGGUUGAUCCUGAUGAGGACCAGGGAAAAUCCUUAUUUCGUCGAAGAUUGCCUUCUCUAGACGGUCCAGCAACCUGUUUCUUCUGAGCAUGUUUCUGCACAAAGGACAUCUCCUUCUCGAGUCGCGUCCUUGGCAAGCAGUACAUUGUACGUGGUCGCGUUUACAGCUCCAGAACGGGCCUGUGUAGUUCUUUUGCAACUAAUACACGUCGCCAUUUUAAAAAGAGACCGGUAACUCGCUCCCUAGUCGACAUCUGAAAGACCAACCAGAAUAAAGGGAACGGAUUAGGGAAAGGGAAGGUCGGAGAAAACAUGACAAUAUGGAGAAUUUUCAGAACGUUGAAUUUAAGACGUAUGUUGAAUUUUUAAAUUGAAUUUUUUUUUAAAACGAUGUUGUUUAGUAAUAAAAUGUGACAUCGUCCCAACUUUUAGGGGGAUCGUGUCCGGGCGGUACAUAGACGUAUUUGGGAUUUGGUUUCCCAUAAAAUUCCGCCAUCGUUUUGGGUCUUGCGGAGGGGUUGGGGCAGUCAGAAUUUUGAGAGGACCGAGUGGGAGGGGAAGUUGAAUCAGACGUUACUGUAGAAGUUUGGAGCUGAGUGACAGCAGGGGUAGAAACUCGGCGAUCUUGAACCGUAGCGGAAGCGGUGUUGAUCUUAGUACCGGAAUUUGAACCAGACAUU